UUAAAUAUUUUAAAUUUAGGUGCCUAUAAUUUUUGUAGUAUAGGUGAAAAGGGAAUGUGGUUAAAUUCCACAACAGCCCCCGCUACUGUAAUUGAUGACAAGCUCUUAAUAUUCCACUCUGAAAAGGGGAAGGAAAGAGUACGGAGGAAUCAUAAGUCAGGAGACCUGCCUAAAUUUUGAAAAUAGC
rfam:Clostridium tetanomorphum DSM 665 contig112, whole genome shotgun sequence.